UGGUCUCUAUCUGAAAGACACAGUUGUACUGAUACCUUCACAUACGUUAGAUCAAGUUUACAAAGAGAAAGAACAUUUAAAUUGGUAAGUUUGUUUUUAUUUUCUUCAUUUGACCAGCAUAACUUAGAAAAUAUGUUUUUCAGUCAUCCACCGAUUGAACCGUUAUCACCUGUAUGUUACUGAAAGUUAAAUACUUUAUACCAAAAAAACAUUAUAAAUUGUAUUUCACUUUCUGAUGUUUCCUGGCUGCAGCCUUAUACUCCCUCUUGAGGAGCUUAAAUGUAGAUGCUUGCUUCACAUGUUGUAAAAUAUGAUGUUUAAAGACUAGUCUGUAAGAGAGGAAAUUCAAAGGAAUCAUCAAAUCUUAUCAGGCUAAAUGAUAGGUUCACGUUUGGUUAAGUCUUAAAAUUUGCUUAAAUGCUCAUAUUCAACAAAACCGAUUUUGGUUGCUGCAGUGAAUCACCUCCAAUCUAAAAGUCAGAGGACAAAGCUCUCCCUUUUUGCUAAUUUCAUUCUUAGUUCAAGCUAAUUGCCCCAGAUUUUCUCUUGCAGAAAAGUAACACAAAAGAAGAGUUCUCUUCAAAAAGUCUGCAAUGUUGAUCCGAACAGUUAAUCCGGAUUUUUGUAAUGUUCAUCUCACAUAUCGUUUUUUAAAUUUGUAUCUGUUGUGAGAUCAACAAUGUUACAGAACUAUCAUCCUAAAUUGAAGAGGGCAAACAUUUCAGCAAGUAAAAAGGUUUCUGUUUUAAGACAGACCUUGAAAGAAUUCAAACUAAUCCUUUAAUAAAGAUAUUCCAAACUGCAUUGAACAAUGUUUAGCAAUAUGUUUGUGUGUGGUUCUUUUGCAAAGCUGUCUUUUUGAACCUCAUCAACUCCUUUUUCUAAACUAAGAUACUUUUCUUAUUUUAACACUUCCUGCAGAAACUAUGUUCACCAACCCCCCCUGCAAAGUGGAAACUCUUCAGGGUCUGGCCUACUGUCCUUUGUUUCUUCUGGGUUUGCUCGUCAAUGCUGCAGCCCUUCUGAGCUUGGUUGCCCAGCGAGCCUCCUGGACAGACACCCACAUCUACAUGUUGAACCUGGCUGCAGCUGAUUCUGCCCUCAUCCUCUUCCUUCCAUUCAGGAUCUAUAAUGCCUUCUUCUGCCUGCCCAAGACCUUCUUUUGUACUUUUCUUGUUAACAUACAUUUCAUCAACAUGUAUGCCAGCAUUUUCACCUCGGCCGCCAUCAGUGUCCAUCGGUACCUGACUGUGCAGUUCCCGCUGCAGGCGAGAUCAUGGAGGAGAAAGAAAGAGGCUGCUUUAGUUGUAUGUUUUUCCAUUUGGGUGUUUGUGGUGACAAUAUGCAUUGUAUUCAGAGAGGAGAACUACCCCCCAAAACUCCGGACUUGUUAUGAACGAUGUACAGAUCAGCAUCUUAAACCACAGUUUUUUGUCAUGCUGGUAUUCGCAGGCUUCCUCGCUCCACUCUUGAUUAUCGUUUUCUGCUCCAGUUGGAUCAUCUUUAUUCUGUUAAAGCAAAACACAAAGUCAGAGGAGAGGAAAAGCACCAUCAGCAUAGUAACAGCAAACAUGAUUGUGUUCAUUGUCUGCUACACACCCAUCCAUGUCAGCUUUGUUGUCAGCUACUUUAGCAUAACGCCUCCAAACUGCCUCAACCAAACCAUUAUGCCUCAAACUAUAUUUUUACAUUCGUCUGAAUGGAUCGCUUCUACAAACUGCUGCUUUGAUUCUAUCAGCUACUAUUUUUUAUUGAAAAAGUUUUAUUUAUAAUUUUUUUAUUUUUCAACAUAUCUGCCCAUUUUCCCAUUCUGUAAUUUUGGGUAAAAAAUCUUGGUGUCAUAUUUGAUGCAGCACUAAAAACCCAUCUUCUGUAAUUCCGACCUGGAGAAAGUUAUGCAUGUUUAUCCACUUGCAUCGAUUACUGUAAUUCACUUUAUUUUAGUAUCACUCAGUCUUGUCUAUCCCGUCCUCAUCUUAUGCAAAAUGCAACAGCCAGAGUUUAACAGUAUCAAAAAGAAGAGAUCAGAUUGCUCCCGUUAUUGCCUCCUUACGCUGGCUACCCGUUUAGUAAAGAAUUUAAUUCCAAGUUUUGAUGAUUGUAUAUAAGGUAUUAAAUGGCCUGCCCCCAUAUCAGCCAGUCUCAUAAAUAAGAUCGUCUAACCAAAGCCUUUUGUCCAUGCCAAGAUCCAGGACAAGGUGUUGGAUAGCAGGUCCUUCUCUAUUGCUGGUCCAACAUCCGUUUCUCACACACUAUUGACAUGUUUAGGACUCUUAAAACAUACUUCUACCCAGUUGCUUUUCAUUCUCGAUGACCCAUCAAGCUCAGGGCUUAGAUAUCAGUUAGCUUUGUGUUACAGUCUACAUCAUUGUAACCUGUUCUUCUUUCAUUUUUAAUGUCGUUGUUGUUCUGUCACUGAUAUUGUUGCAUUGGGGUGCAAGCAUGGCAACUAAAGAAAACAUUGCUGUUUUUUAUGUCUUUGAUUUUCUUUUUUCUGUUACCUUCUAAUGUUUUUUUCCCCUCUCUAUCUGCCCUGUGCAGCACUUCAACAAUGUUGUAUAUAAAAUGCUAUACAAAUAAAUGAGUUGAGUUUCAUGUAUUUUCUAAUAUGAUGUUAAU